AUGAACGCUGGCGGCGUGCCUAAUACAUGCCGGUCGAGCGAACAGACGAGGAGCUUGCUCCUCUGACGUUAGCGGCGGACGGGUGAGUAACACGUGGAUAACCUACCUAUAAGACUGGGAUAACUUUGGGAAACCGGAGCUAAUACCGGAUAAUAUAUUGAACCGCAUGGUUCAAUAGUGAAAGACGGUUUUGCUGUCACUUAUAGAUGGAUCCGCGCCGCAUUAGCUAGUUGGUAAGGUAACGGCUUACCAAGGCGACGAUGCGUAGCCGACCUGAGAGGGUGAUCGGCCACACUGGAACUGAGACACGGUCCAGACUCCUACGGGAGGCAGCAGUAGGGAAUCUUCCGCAAUGGGCGAAAGCCUGACGGAGCAACGCCGCGUGAGUGAUGAAGGUCUUCGGAUCGUAAAACUCUGUUAUUAGGGAAGAACAAAUGUGUAAGUAACUAUGCACGUCUUGACGGUACCUAAUCAGAAAGCCACGGCUAACUACGUG
rnacentral:rRNA from 1 species